GGCCGAACCCUUGAUUAACAUGGUACAAGGAAUAAAGGCCCUCUUAGUGUCCACGUACCACCGGUGGUACGCAAGAAGGAUUCUUUACAAGUCUACACAUUGAAAGCUCGGGUGGUAUGCCAGUGAAAAGAGCGGAGAACCGAAUUAAAAAUUAAAUUUUAUAAUAAUAGUAUUUUGUUCUGAAAAAUUUAUUUAUGUUUAUUAGUGUUGGAGAAUUCGCUACUAGAAUAUUUGCACACGAAGGCCUUCAUCAAUAGCCUUACAUUCAAUUGAUAAACGUGAGUUGAAUGAAAGAAAUGGCAGAAGCAGCAGUUUCAAGUUACGAGAAGAGUAUUGUCAUUUAUGAAGCUGACGACAAAAAAGUUGCAAAUUUGAGAAUGGUAAUCAAUAUGUGACGAUGCUCAAGAACUGUACGCAAGUUCACGUUGGACCAAAAAUAGAAAUUCAUACCGAAGGACCAAAAGUAGAAAUUAGUAGAGAUGGACCAAAAAUAAAAAUUCGUACAGAAGAACCAAA